GUGGGGAAUCUUAGACAAUGGGGGAAACCCUGAUCUAGCCAUGCCGCGUGAGCGAUGAAGGCCUUAGGGUUGUAAAGCUCUUUCAGCUGGGAAGAUAAUGACUGUACCAGCAGAAGAAGCCCCGGCUAACUCCGUGCCAGCAGCCGCGGUAAUACGGAGGGGGCUAGCGUUGUUCGGAAUUACUGGGCGUAAAGCGCACGUAGGCGGACCGGAAAGUCAGAGGUGAAAUCCCAGGGCUCAACCUUGGAACUGCCUUUGAAACUCCUGGUCUUGAGGUCGAGAGAGGUGAGUGGAAUUCCGAGUGUAGAGGUGAAAUUCGUAGAUAUUCGGAGGAACACCAGUGGCGAAGGCGGCUCACUGGCUCGAUACUGACGCUGAGGUGCGAAAGCGUGGGGAGCAAACAGGAUUAGAUACCCGAGUAGUCC
rnacentral:rRNA from 1 species